rnacentral:rRNA from 1 species
GACAGAGGGUGCAAACGUUGUUCGGAAUUACUGGGCGUAAAGCGCGUGUAGGUGGCGAGGCAAGUCGGGUGUGAAAGCCCUGGGCUCAACCCAGGAAGUGCACUCGAUACUGCCUAGCUAGAGUCCCGGAGAGGUUGGUGGAACUCUCGGUGUAGAGGUGAAAUUCGUAGAUAUCGAGAAGAACACCGGUGGCGAAGGUGGCCAACUGGACGGUGACUGACACUGAGACGCGAAAGCGUGGGGAGC